UUUUGCACAAGNNGNGGAGCAUGUGGUUUAAUUNGAAGCAACGNGAAGANCCUUACCAAAUCUUGACAUCCCUCUGACAAACUGUGUAAAGCAGUCUUCUUCGGACAGAGGUGACAGGUGGGGCAUGGGUGUCGUCAGCUCGUGUCGUGAGAUGUUGGGUUAAGUCCCGCAACGAGCGCAACCCUUGUCUUUAGUAGCCAGCAUUUCGGAUGGGCACUCUAGAGAGACUGCCAGGGAUAACCUGGAGGAAGGUGGGGAUGACGUCAAAUCAUCAUGCCCCUUAUGAUUUGGGCUACACACGUGCUACAAUGGCGUAAACAAAGGGAAGCGACCCUGUGAAGGCAAGCAAAUCCCAAAAAUAACGUCUCAGUUCGGAUUGUAGUCUGCAACUCCACUACAUGAAGCUGGAAUCGCUAGUAAUCGCGAAUCANAAUGUCGCGGUGAAUACNUUCCCGGGCAAAA
rnacentral:rRNA from 2 species